UCAGCUGAACCUGAUGCCUCUCAUCGUGGCCUUCCCUGAUCCUGCUAGGGGCACAAGAUGGGUGUUGGCUGACUAGGAAGCUGCUGGCGCCUGGGGCUGGGCCGUCAUGGAACCACUGGGCUGAGCCUUGUUAGCACCUUGUGCACUAUAAUGCAGUCCUCCACAACCAAGGUAUCACUUUUUAUGAGUGCCCCCUAAUCUGUCUGGCUUCUUCUCAACCAAGAACACAGCACUCCAUCAAGAACAUUACAAUUACAAUUGAUCUCCUUACACAGAAGAAGCAAUAAUCUUUCAUUUAGAGACUGCAUCAAGCAUGCAUUACAAAAAUAGAAGAUAUAGCUGCAGAUUAGAUUCAGAUCUGGUAAUAAUGAAAAAUACCACCUUAGACAAUGUACAGACUUUCAGAAAAGAAGAAGUAAGAAGAGUGUUUCUCAGAAAGCCUGCCCUUCUUGAAG
ensembl:lncRNA